GACGAACGCUGGCGGCGUGCUUAACACAUGCAAGUCGAACGGUGAAGGGAUCAGCUUGCUGGUUCUGGAUGAGUGGCGAACGGGUGAGUAACACGUGAGUAACCUGCCCCCUUCUUCUGGAUAACCGCAUGAAAGUGUGGCUAAUACGGGAUAUUCUGCGCCUGCUGCAUGGUGGGUGUGGGAAAGAUAUUGUUUCGGUGGGGGAUGGGCUCGCGGCCUAUCGGCUUGUUGGUGGGGUGAUGGCCUACCAAGGCGGUGACGGGUAGCCGGCCUGAGAGGGUGGACGGUCACACUGGGACUGAGACACGGCCCAGACUCCUACGGGAGGCAGCAGUGGGGAAUAUUGCACAAUGGGCGCAAGCCUGAUGCAGCGACGCCGCGUGAGGGAUGGAGGCCUUCGGGUUGUGAACCUCUUUCGCCAGUGAAGCAGGCCUGUCCCUUGUGGGUGGGUUGACGGUAGCUGGAUAAGAAGCGCCGGCUAACUACGUG
rnacentral:rRNA from 1 species